UGCCAAGCACUGGUUAACAGGUUGUUGCCCAACUCCGUCAGGUCCGGAAGGAAGCAGCGGUAAGUAUUCAAUUUGUGUAAUUAGCUGCUUGGCUUUU
rnacentral:SRP_RNA from 2 species